rnacentral:tRNA from 1 species
GAGUUUGUCUGGGAUUAUGAGAACUGCUAAUUCCUCAAAACCAUGGUUCAAUUCCAUGGCUUACUCG